AUUGAACGCUGGCGGUAGGCUUAACACAUGCAAGUAGAGCGGAGAUGAGGUGCUUGCACCUUAUCUUAGCGGCGGACGGGUGAGUAAUGCUUAGGAAUCUGCCUAUUAGUGGGGGACAACAUUCCGAAAGGAAUGCUAAUACCGCAUACGUCCUACGGGAGAAAGCAGGGGAUCUUCGGACCUUGCGCUAAUAGAUGAGCCUAAGUCGGAUUAGCUAGUUGGUGGGGUAAAGGCCUACCGAGGCGACGAUCUGUAGCGGGUCUGAGAGGAUGAUCCGCCACACUGGGACUGAGACACGGCCCAGACUCCUACGGGAGGCAGCAGUGGGGAAUAUUGGACAAUGGGGGGAACCCUGAUCCAGCCAUGCCGCGUGUGUGAAGAAGGCCUUAUGGUUGUAAAGCACUUUAAGCGAGGAGGAGGCUACUGAGACUAAUACUCUUGGAUAGUGGACGUUACUCGCAGAAUAAGCACCGGCUAACUCUGUGCCAGCAGCCGCAGUAAGAC
rnacentral:rRNA from 1 species